GCCAGACUCCUACGGGAGGCAGCAGUGGGGAAUAUUGCACAAUGGGGGGAAACCCUGAUGCAGCAACGCCGCGUGAGUGAGGAAGUAUUUCGGUAUGUAAAGCUCUAUCAGCAGGGAAUAGAAAAGAAGGUACCUGAAAAAGAAGCCCCGGCUAACUACGUGCCAGCAGCCGCGGUAAUACGUAUGGUGCAAGCGUUAUCCGGAUUUACUGGGUGUAAAGGGAGCGUAGGCGGCGCGUUAAGUCUGAUGUGAAAACCCGAGGCUCAACCCCGGGACUGCAUUGGAAACUGCCGGGCUGGAGUGCCGGAGGGGUAAGCGGAAUUCCUGGUGUAGCGGUGAAAUGCGCAGAUAUCAGGAAGAACACCGGUGGCGUAGGCGGCUUACUGGACGGCAACUGACGCUGAGGCUCGAAAGCGUGGGGAGCAAACAGGAUUAGAUACCCCGGUACG
rnacentral:rRNA from 1 species